UACGUAGGGUGCGAGCGUUAAUCGGAAUUACUGGGCGUAAAGCGUGCGCAGGCGGGCUUUUAAGCCAGACGUGAAAUCCCCGGGCUUAACCUGGGAAUGGCGUUUGGGACUGGGAGUCUGGAGUGCGGCAGAGGAGACUGGAAUUCCUGGUGUAGCAGUGAAAUGCGUAGAUAUCAGGAGGAACACCGGCGGCGAAGGCGGCCCUCUGGAUCGUUGCUGACGCUGAGACGCGAAAGCGUGGGGAGCAAACAGG
rnacentral:rRNA from 1 species